CUGGCCCCCGCAGCCGUGUCCACCGCGUCGACACUGGAGCGGACCUUGUCGGAACUACAGACCUGUCUCCCACUCUGGCGGCUGCGGACCGGACAGACAGCCAGGGAGGAGGCAAGUAUUCCCCAAAGAGGCUUCCUCCCCUCCUCAUCCUCCUCCCCGCGCCCUUGCUCUGCAGCUUGAGCGGCAGGGUAGGAGGGGACUUUUUUCCAGAAAGAAGUGGACAGCAAGCAAUCAAUUUUCCUCUCCGGCCAUGGUGACCAAGUCCCUGCCCGGGCCCUUUCCAGGUUCAACAGACCUGUUGCACCCAGAGAAGAGCCCCAAACCGAUCGGCGCGCCAAGAGCCCCCGAGACUCUGCUUGCCAAUAUCCCGAGAGCCCAGCACCGACGGGGAAAUGUGGGGAAGCCCCCAGACGCAAUUGAGGUAAUCAUCUCAGUGUUCAGGGCCCCUCUUCCUACCCACUGAGAUAGCGGCAAAUAACUCACUAACCCGGAGGGCAAUGGAGAGGCGGAAGCCCUGUCUACUGAAAACGAACAUCUAGCGCAGGUGCGUGCUAGUCUCGCCUUUCCAUCCGCCGGGUCCUUGCCUAGCGGUCAGAAUCCCGCGGUCAGGUCUCUGGAGCCCCUCCCCGGCAAAUCCGAGCUUCUAGCUUCAGCACCAGAAGCUGGACAGCGCCCUGCCCGCUGAGCGCGGGACGAUCCCUGGGACGCCGCGCAGAGGAGUGCCUGAGGUGAGACGGGUUUGCAGAAGGAGGGACCCACCUUCUCCAGGGGUCUGGGUGUCGGUUUCUUGGCGGGCGUUCUGUCUCCUCUUAGUACGUCCAGCGGGAAAACUUAGUGCUCAGGUGCCGGCCGGCGCCCGGACAAGACGCGCACGCUCAGCGGGGCUCGUAGGGGGCCAGGAACGCGCAGCGUCUAUUGUGUCCCUGGCCUUGGAGAUCUUUGGAAAAUCGCCACAGCCUCUCUCUCGCCCGCCCCUUCCCGCUCCACAAUCUCCGUAGCCCUACUAAAAGUGAAUGAAGGAAAAAGCGUUGGGGUGGAGAGAGAAGAUAGUGAAGCCGAGGGGAGAAGCACAUUUUUUCUAGGUCCUCACCCUUAGGGGUAAGAAAAAAAAUCUGUCCAAUGAACAUCAAGUUACACGUUUUUUUAUCCAGACACCCAAAGUGCCCUUUGUACGAGCAGCGGAGGAGAUUGUUUUGCCAGGAAGGGGGCAAAAAGCCCCGAAGGGGAGAAUCUACCACAAAAGGGCUAACAGAGGAGGGGAAGAGGAGAGGAGCGGACAAAACUCAGCAAUGCGUGGUUGCUGGGCAACCAGCCGCAGCCCCAGCCUCCUGUUGCCUUGGUUACAGUGAAUGGAGGGGCUUUGGCUACUGAUUACCCAUGAGCACCAUGACUCUUUAAAAUGUGCCUUGGGAGCCCUUGCCUUCCCCAGGCUGGGUGGAAAUCACCACCCUCCCAAGGAAUCCUCCCCCCACUACCUGGGGAAAUCCUGGAAGAGGAAUUUUUCCUUUUAAAUCAAGGCACGGGGCAAUUUCCCCUCAAUCCUUCCCACCCCCACCCCCCAACACUUGCUUUAGAAGUAAUAGUAACCUACCCUGCCAUUUCUUCAAGAUUUACAGUUUUGCCCCCUCAACGCGCACACACUUAUUCCUUUAUACUGGAGGCGCUGAUCUCUCCCCAUUUUCUCUCUUCCCCUUUCCCCCCUCUUUUAAAUGAGAAAAAUAUGUUUGCUCCUCGUGGGAGAACGAGAGGGAGGCAGGACUCUCAUCCAAGGGUAUCUAUCUACUCUGAAGAGAGUCUUAGCAAUCACAGGCCCCAGGACCCCUCGCAGGGGGAGGAGGUGAAUUCUGGGUUGAAUCACCCCACAGACCUCAAGGAAGGGAGAAACACAUCUCCCUCAAGAAGUGGCCGCUGGCUCAAGAUUCUCUUCUCUCCCUUCCUCCCAGCAUCCCCUUCACAACCAGCAAGCACAGUGCAGCCAGCUUCUGGUCCUCUGUUUUCUCUUUGCCCUGAUUGACAAAUAUUGACUCCACUUUCCACCCGUCAGCCCUGCUCCCGUGCGUUCAUUCAGUAUCGUCUGGCUAGAAAGCACUUUACCCGCAGUUUUUUAAAGGCAAGUGAACCGUUCUCAGAGUGAUUUAAGGGGAAACCACCAGCGAGUUACUAGAACAACCUAUGUCCUGUAGAUUAGUUUAUCCAGAAUACUUCUCAUUAAGAGCCAAGAAUUUUCUAUUUCCAAAGAAAACCCUUUUUUUAAAACUGAGGUAUCACUUGGGAGCACAGGGAGAAAAUGUCCGUAUUUUUUAGGCAGUAACCAUCAUAUCUCACCUCCGAUGCCUGCACCAACAAACACAAACAUCUUUCCUUAUAUUAUUUUUCCUUCCUUUGUUGAUAAAAUAUUUUUUUUAAAUCACUAUAAUUUCAAUGUAUGCUUAUGGCCAAAAUGACCUUGGUGGACCAGCUAGAUAUAGUUGGUGAGCAUUUAUGCUAAAAUGCCUCUCAAGUGUUUCUAUAGAAAUUUCUGACAGACCAGACCAGACAGCUGUUCUGGUUUUUGUACUUUUUUCCUCAAAGAAAUGCUUUAUUUUAUUAAUUCUCCUGAGCAGUGAUCACUGAUCACAUCAAUAAUGUCCUAUAGCAAUAGUAGUUAUUUUGUUACAAAAAAAUUAUCUUUCUGCUCAUUUCUUUAUGGACAAAGGAUUUACUUUCCUUUUGAGAAUAUAAGCAAGAUCUUACUGGCCAGGAAAGAACCAUUCUCUCAUUGGUUGGUGUAUAAUGCCUUGUAACCCAGUAAGAGGAUGCCAUUUAUCCUUUUUUGACUAGCUGAGUGAGGCCGGGGUAGCCAGGAUGAUUAAAUCUCCUCAGUGCUACCCAGUAGCAAAAAGGUAGAACUCAGAGUUCUGGGGCCCAGGAUCUGAGACUUACUUUGGCUAAUCCAGAAUGCAUUUGACUGGCAAGGAUGAACUUUUCUACCUUGCUACUUGUAGUUUACUUGAACAAAUUUGCAUAAUACAUUGUUCUAUGGAUUUUUUUUCAUUUUAUGUUAUGUCAUGAUCACCCCAAGUCAGUGUAGGCUAUUGGUAUCAGCACAUUGAGGACCCAGGGUUUUUUUAUGAUUUCCUAGAAGUACAGAAUUGGUUCUCACCAUUAGGGAUAUGGUGAAAACUUUACAGGGUAAGGAUGGAAAGCUAGAAGAGAUGAAUAGUUAUUGCUGAUUUUGGAUUCACUCUGUUAGCUUUGCUAUCCUAUGAUUAUUUGAUUUGUUUGUUUUCCCAACUUCAUUCUUCCUAGCUUUCCUUCUGGCCUGAAUUUUCAGUGAGAAGUAGAAAAGCUGAAUGGAUGGAGAUGGUGACCCUCUAAGUCAGAGUGAGGGCAGACCUAUUGCUACCAAAGAAGGCUUGUGGCAGGUUGAUGAUGCGGCCCCUGGAGUUGAAAGUUAUCUCAGCCCCUCAUGGCGUUGGUGUUGGGCAGGACAAACUCUCCUAUAAGCCUGGCAGCCUGCAGGAUGCCUUCACAACUGAGGAUCAAAUGUGUGACCCUUGUACUCAGCUGCAUCCCUAGCCCUCUUUUUAUUUUGAAACAAGGUCUUGCUAAGUCACUAAGUUGCCCAGGCUUAGCCUUCGAGAGUGACGACAUUACAGCAAAGCCAGUGGGCAGCCAGUUCUAUUAGAAAUCUCAUUCACACUUGAGAAGUCUGCAAAUUGGCAUCGCUCAGCAGGUGUCUGCUCCUCACGGCCGGAUGUCAGGAUGAGCAGAGCAGGGGGACAGCGGACUCAAGAGUCAGUCUCUCCUGGCAGCAUCUGGGGCUGGAGCCAGGUCACUAUGCCCUGCAAUUCGCGGAAGAAUGAACGCACCCCAACCCUCCCCACCGCAAAACCACAGAAAUCAAGGACUAGAAUUUGUGGCUUGCCUCUAAGUCACUCAGCAAGAUUCACAAUUUAGUGCUUCGUGAGGUGAUCUUCUAGGUAGCCCAAAAAGGGCCUCGGGUUCCUCACCCUCACCCAUCACCCGACUUUCGCGGUCCUGGUCCAGCGCUCACAUCGCAACUGCAAGUUUCCCUGGAUGUGCGGGGAUGCGGCGCCCUCUGCUGGGCCUUCGAUGCAACUGCUCGUUAGGCGAGCAAGGGUGGAGAGUAAAUUUCCCUGGAUCAAAUCCUUCCGGUCUUUCAUUAAAAUACUGUGCGAAAUUAACCUGGAUCUAUGAGUCCUGGAAAUUCUUAGAAGCUAGGGGCACUAUACAAGUGCCACAAUCGUCUUGGUGACAGGCCAUGUCCUGGUAGGUCCAAAGUCCAGCCACAGUGGGGUCAUGAGUGCCAGUAGAGCCAGCUGUGGUGGCAUGGGCCUGUAAUCCCAGCACUCCGGGAAGCUGAGGCAAAAGGGUUGCAAGUCUGAGCUCAGCCUGGGCAGUUUAGCGAUUUAAUGAGACCUUGUCUCAACAUUAAAAAAAAAUUUUGUUUAAAUACCUCAGUUUGAAAGACCUGGGUUCAAUUCCCAGUACCCGCCCCCACCCCACACACAAGGGAAGCUGCUUGACUUACAGUUAGCCCCCAGAGUUUUGUCAGCUUCGUUCCCUCUAACUCAAGGGGUCUUAAACUCAGCCCUGCACCAGGAUCAGCUGCUAACCAGUCAGCUCGGUAGAAUACAGAUCACUGGGCCCCCACCUGGCUAUCUCACUCCAGGUCCAACAAAUUCCCAGCCAAGCUCUAGGCUGCUGCUCUGGGUCCACACUGAGAGAACCACUGCUCUGAAAAUUGGUCAGAUCAAUACACCCUUUCAGGUCUACGACUGGCUCAGAUCCAUGAGGAUCCCCACAGCCCACCCGAAGCCCUCAAAGUGGUGCCCACAGCAGGCAUAAUAGUGCCUGGAUGGUCCAUAAGGAUUCGUGCUCGAAAAGCAGAUCGUGUCUCCAGAUGUCUCAUGUGCUCCGGGAUUGAAACUGUGGGGUCCCUGGGGGAAGGGUUUGACCAUAUGCUUUCCUCACCAGGUUCCACCCCAAAGGGUUCUAUUACAGAGAAGCCCUGGCCUUUGAAAGAGGAGCUAUUUUCACUCUAAGAGCUGGUAAGUAGCUGGGCAUGGUGGCACAUAUCAUAAUCGCCGCAAUCUGAAGGCUGAGGUAGGAAAAUCAAAAGUUCUAUUCCACUCUGGGUAACUUAGUGAGUUAGAGAGACUUUGUCUCAAAAUUUAAAGUUUUAAAAAUGGGUUGGGGGCCAAGAAUUUAGCUCAGUGGUGCCACCACCCGCCUCGCAAGCGCAAGGUCCCAAAUUCAAUCCCAGUACCAAAAAAAUAAAAAGUAAAAAAAAUAGAAAUGGGUUGGGGACAUUGCUCAGAACAAAGGCUCUGCAUGCAUUCCCCAAUACCGCAGAAAUAAAGAGUUGGUAGGUAGGCUGAGUAGCUUCCUAAAGAAGCAGGAUUAGGGGUACUGCUGUCCCCAGUGACAUGCAGUAUGGAGGCCAUCAUCACUGGGGUCUCAAACUGUUUUGCUUAAUAAUGUUCUUACCAAGAAUCUAAGUAGUGGGGCAGGGAUUUAGCUCAAUGGUGCCUUGCCUGCCUCACAAGCACAAGGUCCCCAAUUCGAUCCCCCAUACUAAAAAAAAAAGAAUCUAAGUAGUUACAAAGGUUGUAUUGAUAUCUUUAUAAAAUAUGCCAAAUAACUGCAAUGAAAUCUGAAUAGCAGAGUGAUUUGAUAUUAAUCAUAUCUUUUUUUUUUUUUUGGUACCGGGAUCAAACUUGGGACCUUGAGCUUGUGAGGCAGGCAGUGGAACCACUGAGCUAAAUCCACGGCCCCAGUCAUAUCCAUUUUUAAGGUACAUGGAAAAAAAAUUCUCCUUAUUGACAGUGUUGAGUUUUACCCUCAAACUGUGCUCUAACAAAACAGCAAUGGGUUUGGAAACCCUUCCCUCCCAAUGCUUUUGUGUUCUAGAAACAACUUACUACCAAGAAGCACCCUCCCCCACCCAGCUGAGAUAAAACUCCUGGAUUCCCCUCUGGGACUCCCCGUGUGACAUCUAGUCAAAGCCAGACACAGCCACUUCCCGUUUCCAUCUUUGCUCCAUGGGACCCACUAAACUGCUUGGCCCACUGAUCAAGCAGAAGAAAAUGCUCGCUCUCAUCUACUACCCAUCUCUUCUGUUCCUUCCACUUCCCACACCCACUUUUUACCAGACUCAUCCCCUAAAAAAGCAGAUGUGUGCCCCGGCAGGGGUACACAUCUGUAAUACUAGCAUUCUGAGAGGAGGAGGCUGGAGUACCACACAAGUUUGAGGUCAGCCUGAGGUGGAAUAAAAGAAAUAAAAGAGAAAGAGGAAAUCAUAACUAAACAUUGUACUUUUAAGAAGAUUCCAGCUUCUAGGACCCAGCCCAUAUUACCGAGGGUGAUCCAUAUCAGUAUUUCCUUGGUUAAAUUUAGGCUCUGGUCCUGGCAGAUCUAGCACACCCCAAAUUCCUCAGGAAUACUGAAAGUCUAUAAAUUGGAUUAAUUGAGAAAAUAAAGAGCAGAAACUUGACCCCAAAAUAAAGGAGCCGGUGGAGAAAAUUCAAAAGUGUUUAAAUUUUCUAUUAAAAAAAAACACCUGCACAUGCCUAUAGAAUGGGCUAGUACUUUUGGGGGCACCGUUUCCCAGGGUUUCCAUCCCUGCAAGAGAAGCAUAAAUGUUCCCUGUUCCAGGAAAUAACACACCUCAUUUCUCUGAGCACCUGCACUUCAUUCUUUCUUUCUUUGUGUGUGUGUGUGUGUGUGUGUGUGUGUGUGUGUGCCGGGGAUCAAACUUAGGACCUCGUGCUUGCCAGGCUCCCAUUUGCCAGGCAGGCACUGUGCCACUGAGCUAAAUCCCUGGUCCUGCACUCCAUUUUUGUGUGUCCUAAAAUCUCUGCCUAAUAAACUCUUAACUUGCCUCUUACAGAAGAGUCUUGAAAAUUCUUUUUCACAAUGCGAGUCAUCGAACCUGCACUUCUUCUACAAAAGAUUGGGUCAAGUUCCUUAUUUCAGUUUCAGGCUCUCAGACCCAGCCCAGUGACAAGCCUGGACAACUUAGUGACUUAGUGAGACCCUGCUGGGCAUUUAAUGGGUUCAACCCCAUUUUCUCUCCCCUCAAAUCAGCUCUUUGUGUAACCCUUGAGAUAUUGUAGAUUUUAUGGAUUGUUCUUCCUAUUGUGUACUCUUAGCAUCCUGCAUCACACCCUCAAAAUAACCCUUUUAAAUAAAGUCUCCCUUUACUCAAUCCGGACUAUUUUUUUACAUUCUAUGCAGCAUUCUUUACAUUUGGCUCCUGCUACAGCGUUUUAUGCAAGCUUAUUGUAUAGAACACCCUUGUGCUUUCCUGUCCCAAGAAUAUGUUGAUAAAUUUGAACUCGCUAAUUCUGAAAAUUUUUCUGUGAUCAUAAAGCUGUAAGUGUUCAUUUGUUAUGCAAUAUCAGUACCUCACUUAAAAUAAAUACACAGAAUUUUCAUUAAAAUAAAUACACAGCAUUCAUAAGAAUCUUUCAGAUUUCCGCAACAACCUCAAAUUCUUUGUCACAGGAAUGCCUCCGAAACGCUGCCACUUAUAAAAGAAAUGUACGUCUAUCUACAUGAAGAAGCAGCGGAAGCAGACAGAAGCGUUUGUAUUUUAAAUCCCCCCCUUUCGGCUCAGGGGAAAUCUUUCUACAGGAAGAUCCUUGCAGGAUCUAAAACCUGCAAGGACUCAUUUACACAGGUGGCUGUGGCCCGAAAGACUUCAUCUGCAUAAUAAGGCAAUCCUGGCUUGUGGUGCCGCAGCCAGUCCCCUUAGAGCUCCGAGUAGAGCUCAGACAUUUUACCCCUCUUGGGGUUGGAUUCCUGUCCCUUAGACAGGUGAUACAACGUGUAUGUUCUUGUUCCUCUUAUUUAUUGCAUAGAACGGAUCAAAUAAAAUUAUUGAGCCUUCAGAGGGAAAACAGCAAAUCCAAGCUUCCCUACAUGAGUAAAA
rnacentral:lncRNA from 1 species